rnacentral:tRNA from 1 species
GCCGCCGUAGCUCAGCCGGGUGGAGCGCCGGCCUCGUAGUCGAGAAAGCCGGUGGACGCGGGUUCAAAUCCCGCCGGCGGCU